CUGGCUCAGGAUGAACGCUAGCGACAGGCCUAACACAUGCAAGUCGAGGGGCAUCGGGGCGAGGAGCAAUCCUUGCCGCCGGCGACCGGCGCACGGGUGAGUAACGCGUAUGCGACCUGCCCGUUGCAGGGGGAUAAUCGGGAGAAAUCCCGUCUAAUACCGCGUAAUGCCGCGGGGCUGCAUGGCCCUGCGGCCAAAGGAAGCGAUUCCGGCAACGGAUGGGCAUGCGUGACAUUAGCUAGUUGGCGGGGCAACGGCCCACCAAGGCGACGAUGUCUAGGGGUUCUGAGAGGAAGGUCCCCCACACUUGUACUGAAACACGGACCAGACUCCUACGGGAGGCAGCAGUGAGGAAUAUUGGUCAAUGGGCGCGAGCCUGAACCAGCCAAGUCGCGUGAGGGAUGACGGCCCUACGGGUUGUAAACCUCUUUUGUCGGGGAGCAAAUUCCGCCACGUGUGGCGGAGUCGAGAGUACCCGAAGAAAAAGCAUCGGCUAACUCCGUGCCAGCAGCCGCGGUAAUACGGAGGAUGCGAGCGUUAUCCGGAUUUAUUGGGUUUAAAGGGUGCGUAGGCGGACUGUCAAGUCAGCGGUAAAAUACGGGGGCUCAACCUCCGCCCGCCGUUGAAACUGACGGUCUUGAGUGGGCGAGAAGUAUGCGGAAUGCGUGGUGUAGCGGUGAAAUGCAUAGAUAUCACGCAGAACUCCGAUUGCGAAGGCAGCAUACCGGCGCCCAACUGACGCUGAAGCACGAAAGCGUGGGUAUCGAACAGGAUUAGAUACCCUGGUAGUCCACGCAGUAAACGAUGAAUACUAGCUGUCCGGGGCGAAUGAGCCCUGGGUGGCACAGCGAAAGCGUUAAGUAUUCCACCUGGGGAGUACGCCGGCAACGGUGAAACUCAAAGGAAUUGACGGGGGCCCGCACAAGCGGAGGAACAUGUGGUUUAAUUCGAUGAUACGCGAGGAACCUUACCCGGGCUCAAACGACACAGGAACGUACCUGAAAGGGUUCGGCUCUACGGAGCCUGUGUCGAGGUGCUGCAUGGUUGUCGUCAGCUCGUGCCGUGAGGUGUCGGCUUAAGUGCCAUAACGAGCGCAACCCCCAUCGACAGUUGCUAACAGGUCAGGCUGAGGACUCUGUCGAGACUGCCGGCGCAAGCUGCGAGGAAGGCGGGGAUGACGUCAAAUCAGCACGGCCCUUACGUCCGGGGCGACACACGUGUUACAAUGGCAGGUGCAGCGGGAAGCCACCUGGCGACAGGGAGCGGAACCCGAAAGCCUGUCUCAGUUCGGAUUGGAGUCUGCAACCCGACUCCAUGAAGCUGGAUUCGCUAGUAAUCGCGCAUCAGCCACGGCGCGGUGAAUACGUUCCCGGGCCUUGUACACACCGCCCGUCAAGCCAUGGAAGCCGGGGGUGCCUGAAGUGCGCUGCCGCGAGGAGCGCCCUAGGGUAAAACCUGGUGACUGGGGCUAAGUCGUAACAAGGU
rnacentral:rRNA from 1 species